rnacentral:tRNA from 1 species
ACGUUGGUGGUUCAGUGGUAGAAUUCUCACCUUCUGUGUAGGAGACCUGGGUUCAAUCCUAGGCCAAUGCG